rnacentral:rRNA from 1 species
UUACGGUCAAAUCACGCUGAAACACCGGUUCUCGUUCGAUCACCGAAGUUAAGCAUCGUAGAGCCAGGUCAGUACUUAGAUGGGGGACCACUUGGGAACACCUGGUACUGUAAG